UACGUAGGUGGCAAGCGUUGUCCGGAUUUACUGGGCGUAAAGAGCGCGCAGGCGGUCGUGCAAGUCGCGUGUGAAAGCCCCCGGCUCAACUGGGGAGGGUCACGCGAUACUGAUCGACUCGAAGGCAGGAGAGGGAAGUGGAAUUCCCGGUGUAGUGGUGAAAUGCGUAGAUAUCGGGAGGAACACCAGUGGCGAAGGCGACUUCCUGGACUGUUCUUGACGCUGAGGCGCGAAAGCUAGGGGAGCAAACGGG
rnacentral:rRNA from 1 species